rnacentral:rRNA from 1 species
AUUGAACGCUGGCGGCAUGCCUUACACAUGCAAGUCGAACGGCAGCACGGGGCAACCUGGUGGCGAGUGGCGAACGGGUGAGUAAUGCAUCGGAACGUACCUUUCAGUGGGGGAUAACGUAGCGAAAGUUACGCUAAUACCGCAUAUUCUGUGAGCGGGAAAGCAGGGGAUCGCAAGACCUUGCGCUGAUUGAGCGGCCGAUGUCAGAUUAGCUAGUUGGUGAGGUAAAGGCUCACCAAGGCGACGAUCUGUAGCGGGUCUGAGAGGAUGAUCAGCCACACUGGAACUGAGCCACGGUCCAGACUCCUACGGGAGGCAGCAGUGGGGAAUUUUGGACAAUGGGGGCAACCCUGAUCCAGCCAUGCCGCGUGAGUGAAGAAGGCCUUCGGGUUGUAAAGCUCUUUCGGCCGGGAAGAAAUCGCACGGGCUAAUACCCUGUGUGGAUGACGGUACCGGAAUAAGAAGCACCGGCUAACUACGUGCCAGCAGCCGCAGUAACAC